AACGAAAAUGGUCGCAAAGGUACAUUUUUAAUUUUUACAAUUUAUAUCGAGAACUGCCUUUGAACAUGGACUAGAAACUGUGACUCAAUUUCAUGUACUCUUCCGUAAUUUAAAAGUCUUGUGUAACCUUUUCCAUGAGUAUAAAAAUUUUAUUUGAAAUCCUUGGCUGAAGGGCAAGUGCUCAUACACCUAGUUCGAUACAUAAUUACCAUGUCGACUAAUGCAGAAAAUUACGAUACAAUAGAUGACCACAGAGAAAACUCUGAUGAUGAUGAUUCUUGGGGUUCUGAUUUUGACGAUGCUUCUGUAAACGCAAACUAUUCCCGAGAAAUUGAAGAUAAUAUAAUUAACGAAGAUCUGGAAGCUCAGUUAAAUCAGGUCCUUUCUUUGAGCAGUGAAAAUCACACAUCUGUUUCUGAGCCAAGCAGUGCACCUGCUGCAGAAAAUACUUAUGGUAAUGUGAAUGUACUUGGUAAUGCUCUUUCAGCAUUUUCUUAUACCAGAAGCAAUGAUAUCUCAGAAGUUAGUAGCAACAGAUUUAUCAAUAAAACUCCAGGCAAUCAAAGGAUACCUGCAUUAUCUACCCCUCCAGUGCAAGAACGGAUGGCAGUUGUAACUUCUUCACAUAGUUUAGUUGCUUCUAAUGAAGUUACAGAAAGGAUAUCUCCGACAAGUAAAAAUAAUAUUCCCACAGGAUGCUCAGAUAAUAAACAAACUCUUAAUCAGAAUUCUGAACUAAAUCGCGGAAAUAAAACACCAGGAAAACUUAAAGCAGAUGCAUUCGCCUUCCUGAAGAAUAUUCCAAGUGCUAGGUCGGCAAAUGAGGAUAAAGAGAGGAAACACCUAGUGGCAACUGCUUUCGUUCAUGCUGUAAAACUCGAGAAGCAAAACUUGAGUCAAAAUUCUGGCGUAAAUAUAAGUGAUGAAAAAUAUGAAUGGACACAUCCUAUACCAUCAGCUCCACUUUCGUCAUCUUUGAGUUCAGACACAGAUGAGGAAGAUUUAAGAAUUAAUCCCCACUCAUUUCAUAACGGUAGUGAGUCGGAUAAUUUAAGAAACAAGAGAAGUAUUCCCACGUUUGCAAAUAUGAAAUCAAGAGAAACUCCGGAAGUUUCGAAACCACCGCUACCCUCUCGCCCUCCACCAAUUUUCGCACUUCAUACCGGAAAGAACGCAAAAGCAAAUACCUCAGUCACAUCAGAUAAACCACAAAUUCAAAUUCCUGCUGGAAGAUCAACAAAACCUACUCCCACUGAAGCCAGUUCAAGUUUACAAACAGGACAUCAGAGAACAUCAGUUGGUAAAUUAACUGCAGUUGUAAAGGAGAAAUCAUUGGAGGGUCGACUGCAGGAAUCUUUCAGACCAGUUCCUCUUACAGCCCCUUCGCUUUAUCCAAUAAUUGAUGAGUCUUCGUCUGGCAAUGAAAAUGCAGCAACAACGCCUCCAGAAAUUUCUCUUGCACCACCAUUGCCAAAACCGAAACCAAGGCAAAGUCUUGAUACGCAUUUAUCAAAAGAUGAAAAUCUGUCAACAAAACAGAAUAAAACAGAAGUGGACAUUAAUGUGCCUAAAUUCAGAAGGUCUUUGGGCUCUAGUAUGGAGAUUUUAUCAGAAGCAAAACAGCCAUUUCCCUCAUCAACUAUAAUACAGGCAGCAAACAUGGAACAAAAACCAAAGCCACCCAAGCCGAUUUCUCCAAUAGACGAUGAAAACUGGCCAAACUAUCUGAACCGUCCUCAGCUCCCACAAAAACUUAAACAGACGCAUAGAUCGCUGUCUUGCAGUAGUUUGGUUCAGUCCUUCAAAGAAAUGAGUUUUCCCAAAAGGAAUCAAUCUAAAGACAAAAAGCCCUUUGAACCAUCACCGACACCAAGAAUUACAGAAGGCCUUGAUCCUAAGGACAAACUGCUAUAUCCUGAAGGCGAAACUUGAUGCAAAUAUUUUCCUGACCAAGGCUAUUGGACGAAAAGAAUUCUUAAAGCCGAGCAGACCCCUGCAGAAAGUUUGCUUUUGAUAGAUGAAAAGCUCCAAAAACACCUCAGCGUCCAAGUAAAGAAGUUGUUGUAAAAGAUAUCACUCGGAAUGCUUGGUUUCAUGAUUUAAAUGCUGUUCAAGCUCAAGUUAGGCUAUUGAACAUGAAACAAAACGGGGCCUUCCUAGUCCGGUA
rnacentral:misc_RNA from 1 species